rnacentral:rRNA from 1 species
GACGAACGCUGGCGGCGUGCUUAACACAUGCCAGUCGAACGGAAAGGCCCUGCUUUCGUGGGGUGCUCGAGUGGCGAACGGGUGAGUAACACGUGAGUAACCUGCCCUUGACUUUGGGAUAACUUCAGGAAACUGGGGCUAAUACCGGAUAGGAGCUCCUGCUGCAUGGUGGGGGUUGGAAAGUUUCGGCGGUUGGGGAUGGACGCGCGGCUUAUCAGCUUGUUGGUGGGGUAGUGGCUUACCAAGGCUUUGACGGGUGGCCGGCCUGAGAGGGUGACCGGCCACAUUGGGCCUGAGGUACGGCCCAGACUCCUACGGGAGGCAGCAGUGGGGAAUAUUGCACAAUGGGCGGAAGCCUGAUGAAGCAACGCCGCGUGCGGGAUGACGGCCUUCGGGUUGUAAACCGCUUUCGCCUGUGACGAAGCGUGAGUGACGGUAAUGGGUGAAGAAGCACCGGCUAACUACGUG